rnacentral:rRNA from 1 species
UACGUAGGGGGCGAGCGUUGUCCGGAUUCAUUGGGCGUAAAGAGCUCGUAGGCGGCUUGGCAAGUCGGAUGUGAAAACUCCAGGCUCAACCUGGAGCCGCCAUUCGAUACUGCUAUGGCUAGAGUCCGGUAGGGGAGUGUGGAAUUCCCGGUGUAGCGGUGAAAUGCGCAGAUAUCGGGAAGAACACCAGUGGCGAAGGCGACUCACUGGACACAUAUUGACGCUGAGGUGCGAAAGCGUGGGGAGCAAACAGG